rnacentral:rRNA from 1 species
AUUGAACGCUGGCGGCAUACCUUACACAUGCAAGUCGAACGGCAGCACGGACUUCGGUCUGGUGGCGAGUGGCGAACGGGUGAGUAAUGUAUCGGAACGUACCUUUCAGUGGGGGAUAACGUAGCGAAAGUUACGCUAAUACCGCAUAUUCUGUGAGCAGGAAAGCAGGGGAUCGAAAGACCUUGCGCUGAUUGAGCGGCCGAUAUCAGAUUAGCUAGUUGGUGGGGUAAAGGCCUACCAAGGCGACGAUCUGUAGCGGGUCUGAGAGGAUGAUCCGCCACACUGGAACUGAGACACGGUCCAGACUCCUACGGGAGGCAGCAGUGGGGAAUUUUGGACAAUGGGGGCAACCCUGAUCCAGCCAUGCCGCGUGAGUGAAGAAGGCCUUCGGGUUGUAAAGCUCUUUCGGCCGGGAAGAAAUCGCAUAGGCUAAUACCCUGUGUGGAUGACGGUACCGGAAUAAGAAGCACCGGCUAACUACGUG